GCUUACUAACACAAUCUCCACUGUAACAAAGUAAAAGAGGAAAUCUUGGUCAAUCUCUGUGACAAGGCAUCUGUAAUCCAAGAACUCAGACUGCAAUGGAUCUAUUCUUUAAAAUGCAACAACACAACACUUCAACAAAACAUAAAAGUGAAGCCUUAAAGAAAAUAGGAUGAUUCUCACACAAGAAAUGAAAUCACUGAGACCCAGAAAUGGACCACAACUGUACCCAGCUGGCCAGUGGCCAUACUGGAAUUAGACAGUACUGUAAAUCUCUUCUGAGAACAUAAUAUUGUGUAUCUACACACCAGCUGGUGUAUAAAUCCAGGGAGAAACGAGAUGGAAAUCAUGUGGAAGAAUGAGAUUUGAAAGUUCCAUUUUAGUGAUGUGUGAGCUAAUAUUAAGAAUAAUUGCAUAUAUUGAGGAUGUACUCCCAAGUGAAAUAACUCUGCGUCAAACUUCAGGCUGGAGAGACCUUCCAUCAGGUGCUUUCUAUCCAUUGGCAACUUACCAGCACAAAGCCCUUCAUAUGCCCAUUCUCACCCUUUGGAAUUCUCAUAUCAUUUAUGAGAUGGAAGCUUGCUGCUCAGCAGGAGUUCCUUAUUAUAUAAAAUUCAGAAGACUAUGUUAGAAGAAGCAUUUUCUGGGCCAAAAGAAAAAAGAAAGAAGGUGCUCAGAUGCAGCAAACAGUACUUGUGUUCCAGGAGGUAGAAGAAAAAAAGAAUCAAUUGAAUAAGCAGAGAAAGCUGUCUAACCCUCUUUUGAGCCUCCAUCCAAAGUGAGAGAACAGCAGGGGACAAAGACCAAAGGCAGAUUGUUCUCCUUUAGAGAAACACGAGGCCAAAGAAAAUAUUUCCACUGCUCCUAAAGAGAUGAACAGUACUGAAUGUCUGAAAAAUGUGCAAAAGGAGCUUAGAAAAAAAAAAAAAACUGUCUCACAGGCAUUUGGUCUUCACCGGACUGUGAGAAGAAAAGACAGCUUCACGUAUCUACCAAGGAGCCUCACUCCACAGAAGCUUCUGAGAGUGAAACAAGACCGAAUCAGAAAUCAAGGC